rnacentral:rRNA from 1 species
CAAUAAUAACAAAAGCUUAACGGACACGCCCCCAAAAUGGGGCCCCCAAUGUAUCACAAAUUGUGUUUCAAAAUUUGCACUUUCCGAUGACUCCCCACUUUCGGGUUUUUUACAUAAACCAAAAACCCAAACUCUUUAAAAAAAGUUAUUUUUUUUUUUCUAGACCUCCGAGGGCCAAAAUAAUUUCCGGUUGGGUCCCGGGCGGACCUUCCCCUUUUUUGGGGCGCGGGUGAUUCCGCCGGGCCACGUAUUAGUUUUUUUCUCAGGGUUUGAGGUUGAAAAUCCGAAAUUUUCCGUAGGGUGAACCUGCGGAGGGAUCAUU